GACGAACGCUGGCGGCGUGCUUAACACAUGCAAGUCGAACGGAUCAGGGGAGCUUGCUUUUCUGGUUAGUGGCGAACGGGUGAGUAACACGUGAGUAACCUGCCCUUCACUCUGGGAUAACUCCGGGAAACCGGGGCUAAUACUGGAUACGACUCGAACAGGCAUCUGUAUCGGGGUGGAAAGAUUUAUUGGUGGAGGAUGGACUCGCGGCCUAUCAGCUUGUUGGUGAGGUAAUGGCNCACCAAGGCGACGACGGGUAGCCGGCCUGAGAGGGCGAUCGGCCACACUGGGACUGAGACACGGCCCAGACUCCUACGGGAGGCAGCAGUGGGGAAUAUUGCACAAUGGGCGAAAGCCUGAUGCAGCGACGCCGCGUGAGGGAUGAAGGCC
rnacentral:rRNA from 1 species